CAUCAAUCCAGCGCAAUGCCCCAGAGCCCCUGUGGGGAGGAGAGACUUCAAAGGACCGGACUCCAGCCAGGUGUGUGCCUCAGAGAUGCUGUGUCCCCCGGACAGCAGGGGACAGUGGAGAACAUGCCGAGCUGGCACACUAGGAGCUGGUAACACCACGGCUGCUGGUCACCUUGAAAGCAGCAGAGAAUGACAGACAGCAACAAAGAAC
rnacentral:lncRNA from 1 species